rnacentral:rRNA from 1 species
UUCCAGACUCCUACGGGAGGCAGCAGUGGGGAAUAUUGCACAAUGGGCGAAAGCCUGAUGCAGCAACGCCGCGUGAAGGAAGAAGGGUUUCGGCUCGUAAACUUCUAUCAACAGGGGCGAAAGAAAUGACGGUACCUGAAUAAGAAGCCCCGGCUAACUACGUGCCAGCAGCCGCGGUAAUACGUAGGGGGCAAGCGUUAUCCGGAUUUAUUGGGUUUAAAGGGUGCGUAGGCGGCGCUUCAGGUCAGCGGUGAAAUACCGGGGCUCAACCCCGGGGCUGCCGUUGAAACCGGAGCGCUAGAAUUCCGAUGCCGUCGGAGGAAUGUGUGGUGUAGCGGUGAAAUGCAUAGAUAUCACACAGAACACCGAUUGCGAAGGCAUCUGACGAAUCGGAGAUUGACGCUGAUGCACGAAAGCGUGGGUAUCGAACAGGAUUAGAUACCCCAGUAGA